rnacentral:rRNA from 1 species
UAGUCCACGCCGUAAACGAUGAAUACUAGGUGUUGCGGGUAUUGACCCCUGCAGUGCCGAAGCUAACGCGUUAAGUAUUCCGCCUGGGAAGUACGGUCGCAAGAUUAAAACUCAAAGGAAUUGACGGGGGCCCGCACAAGCGGUGGAGCGUGUGGUUUAAUUCGAUGCAACGCGAAAAACCUUACCUGGAUUUGACAUCCUCGGACCGCCCUAGAGAUAGGGUUUUCUCUUCGGAGACCGAGUGACAGGUGCUGCAUGGCUGUCGUCAGCUCGUAUCGUGAGAUGUCGGGUUAAGUCCCUUAACGAGCGCAACCCCUAUCACUAGUUGCUACCAUUUAGUUGGGCACUCUAUUGAGACUGCCGGUGUUAAACCGGAGGAAGGUGGGGAUGACGUCAAGUCCUCAUGGCCCUUAUGUCCAGGGCUACACACGUGCUACAAUGGCCGGUACAGAGGGUCGCCAACCCGCGAGGGGGAGCUAAUCUCAGAAAACCGGUCUCAGUCCGGAUUGGAGUCUGCAAUUCGACUCC